rnacentral:lncRNA from 1 species
AAUCCUCUAUUAAACUCACAUUAGCAAAAAAUAUAAAAAAAACAUUUCUAAUAAAAUAAAAUAACUAAAAUACUCUUAAAAGUUUCAAAGGGUAUUUUGGUUAUUAUAUUUUAUCGAAAAAUUAUUUUUAAUAUUUUUUAUAGGUGCGUCCUAAUGAGAAGAUGACAUGUACCAAAUUUCAUAUUCAUAAAAUUUAUAUAAAAAAACUAAAAAUAAACUACUUUGAGACAUCAGAUCUAAGAUCAAACAAUGAGGGACUCUUUUGAUCAAAAUUGGACUGCAGGAUGGUAAGGGAAGCAUAGAUCUUGUAUGCUAUAGGGGAAGCAUAGAUCUUGUAUGCUAUAGGGAAAGUAUAGAAACCUUUCCCUUUAAAUAUAUGUAUCUAUAGACAGGCGCAUAUAUGCAAACUUAUAUACUCAUACAUGUAUCCCAAAUAAACACACAUUUAUGUAAGAUAGGGUAUUCCCCAUCAGGAUUGAUAAAUUUUAAAACAAAUGAUUACCGCCGCUAGUGAUUUAAUCUCAACUAGAACGAUCUAGUGAAAUAGAUUUUCCUAGGGAGAAAGACGGAUUAAUCCUCAUUCAGGAGAGAGAAUUUGAGCGAGAGAGUGACCAGCCAAUGGGGAAAAGAGAGAGAUUGCCUGAUGAUCUGUGUGUGAGAGAGAGCUUGAGAGACAUCAAGAGAGGUUCCCUGUCAAACAAAAAGGGAAAGGGGCUCAUACUUCAGUAUCGUGCUCUUCAAUCCCCAUAACACUUUUGGAAAACAGGUAGCUGUAUAUAAUUCCCGCAAAUUACAAAAAAAAAAAAAAAAAAUAUAGAGAGAGGGAGAAUUUGCACAAUGUCUUUUCAAUCCAACCGAAAACGCCAUUUCUGAUCCCCUCCUAAGAAUCGAAUUUGCACAAUGUCUUUUCAAUCGAACCGAAAACGCCAUUUCUGAUCCCCUCCUAAGAAUCCCAUACUCAUUUAUCAUCCAAAGCCAAAAAAAAGAAAUAAUCGUCGGAGGCCAUUUCUGACCCCCUCCUAAGAAUCCCAUACUCAUUAAUCAUCCAAAGCCAAAAAAAAGAAAUAAUCAUCAGAGGCUCUCUUAUAUUAUGCAUUCAUUUGUUUUCCGGUUAUUUUGGCUUCUUUUACCAAUUCGAAACCGUUAAAAAGAAAAAAUACGACCAAAAUCAUAUGAAUGGGUCUCAGAGCCUCGCAUAUUUCGAAGCUCAGGCAAUGGAAUAAAUAACCUCCAUAGACUCCAAGGCUGCGUCAUUCCUGCAGCCAGAAGUCAAUUUCCCGUCACCGCUGUCUUUUCCGGCGACCUCCCCCUCCUCAUUUUUGGAUUUCGAAGCCGGAGGCUUGUAAUACAUUCGACCGGUUUGGGGACAAUGACCAUGAAACCUGGCCGCUAUGCGAAAGCCGGCAUCCAGCAUCUCAACAUAUUUCCCCAUCUCUCUUUCUCUUUCUCUCUCUGCCCUACCCUUACUGCUUCAACCAGUCCCCUUUCUCUCUCUCUACCCUGCUCUCAAUGCUUGCUUCAACAAAAGAUAGAGAGAGGAAUAGGGGCUUAGAGAGAGAAACAAGGCACGAAGAGAAGAUUAGAACACAUCCCAAAUACUACAAAUGCCCAUAAACCUAGAGAGAGAAAGAGAGGUGCGAUGGAUGAGAGAGAAUGAGGAGUUUGAAGGGGAUUUUAUAGGCGCUUCGAAACCGCGUUUCAAGGGGCGUUGAGGUAACGCAAAACUGAA